rnacentral:rRNA from 1 species
AUUGAACGCUGGCGGCAGGCCUAACACAUGCAAGUCGAACGGUAACAGGAAGAAGCUUGCUUCUUUGCUGACGAGUGGCGGACGGGUGAGUAAUGUCUGGGAAACUGCCUGAUGGAGGGGGAUAACUACUGGAAACGGUAGCUAAUACCGCAUAACGUCGCAAGACCAAAGAGGGGGACCUUCGGGCCUCUUGCCAUAGGAUGUGCCCAGAUGGGAUUAGCUAGUAGGUGGGGUAACGGCUCACCUAGGCGACGAUCCCUAGCUGGUCUGAGAGGAUGACCAGCCACACUGGAACUGAGACACGGUCCAGACUCCUACGGGAGGCAGCAGUGGGGAAUAUUGCACAAAGGGCGCAAGCCUGAUGCAGCCAUGCCGCGUGUAUGAAGAAGGCCUUCGGGUUGUAAAGUACUUUCAGCGGGGAGGAAGGGAGUAAAGUUAAUACCUUUGCUCAUUGACGUUACCCGCAGAAGAAGCACCGGCUAACUCCGUG